rnacentral:sRNA from 1 species
GUGAGAGCUCUGGAGACUGAAAUCCUCUAUUAAUCUACAGACCAGGUACAACACUGGCCAUGGUGUAAGUUUUCCUACACUGCCUCAAUUAUGACCUGAAAGGAUCAGCUCUCAGGGGGAGGGGAUGGUUCACUCUAUAGUCUUUUCAUGCCUUUGUCUCC